rnacentral:rRNA from 1 species
GGAGUAAUACUGGAUGUGGAUAUCGACUGGGAACAGUUGAUUUCUAAAGCCGGGGACCGCAAGGCCUGGUGCUCAUGGGUAAGCCCGCGACUUAUCAGCUAGUUGGUGAGGUAAGAGCUCACCAAGGCGGAGACGGGUAGCUGGUCUGAGAGGACGACCAGCCACACUGGAGCUGAGACACGGUCCAGACACCUACGGGUGGCAGCAGUCGAGAAUUUUUCUCAAUGGGGGAAACCCUGAAGGAGCGACGCCGCGUGGGGGAUGAAGGGCUUCGGCUCGUAAACCCCUGUCAUUUGUGAUCAAGUGUUAUUGUUUAAGAGAUGAUGACUUUGAUAGUAGCAAAAGAGAAGGGACGGCUGACUCUGUGCCAGCAGCCGCGGUAAUAC